rnacentral:rRNA from 1 species
GGGUGAGUAACACGUGGGUAACCUGCCCAAGAGACUGGGAUAACACCUGGAAACAGAUGCUAAUACCGGAUAACAACACUAGACGCAUGUCUAGAGUUUGAAAGAUGGUUCUGCUAUCACUCUUGGAUGGACCUGCGGUGCAUUAGCUAGUUGGUAAGGUAACGGCUUACCAAGGCAAUGAUGCAUAGCCGAGUUGAGAGACUGAUCGGCCACAUUGGGACUGAGACACGGCCCAAACUCCUACGGGAGGCAGCAGUAGGGAAUCUUCCACAAUGGACGAAAGUCUGAUGGAGCAACGCCGCGUGAGUGAAGAAGGGUUUCGGCUCGUAAAGCUCUGUUGGUAGUGAAGAAAGAUAGAGGUAGUAACUGGCCUUUAUUUGACGGUAAUUACUUAGAAAGUCACGGCUAACUACGUGCCAGCAGCCGCGGUAAUACGUAGGUGGCAAGCGUUGUCCGGAUUUAUUGGGCGUAAAGUGAGUGCAGGCGGUUCAAUAAGUCUGAUGUGAAAGCCUUCGGCUCAACCGGAGAAUUGCAUCAGAAACUGUUGAACUUGAGUGCAGAAGAGGAGAGUGGAACUCCAUGUGUAGCGGUGGAAUGCGUAGAUAUAUGGAAGAACACCAGUGGCGAAGGCGGCUCUCUGGUCUGCAACUGACGCUGAGGCUCGAAAGCAUGGGUAGCGGACAGGAUUAGAUACCCUGGUAGUCCAUGCCGUAAACGAU